rnacentral:lncRNA from 1 species
UAGAAGGCCAAGGUUCACGGUUCUGUUUUUUAAUUGCAAUUCACUCUUUCCCACUUCUUCCAGGAGCUUCAGCUUUAUCAUUGCUGUGAGAUUUACAGCACUUCCUUCCAUCGUCAGCUUGCUAAUAGGCAGUGGUUGAACUCCCUGGAGUCUAAACUAGGAAAUAUGAGCAGUAUGUAACUGCUAUGGCUGGAAUCGCAUUCCACUUCAGAAGCUUCUUAACAGCAUUCUCAGAUGUGUGAAUAUACAUUAGUGACCCAAGGGGAUUACUCCCUGGCACCAAGUUUACCUUUAUGAGGGGCCUGGAUGAUGAGACCUUCCCUCCCAUAAGCAGAAGUGUCUGGAAAGCCCAGCUCUCAAGUAAGCAGCUGCCUUGCCUGUAUGUCCACAGCAUCAGUGACUGCCAAGAUGACCAAAGUUUCCUGAAAGGUGAAGAAAAUGCUUGAUUCUGGAGCACCCUUCUAAUAGCAAGCACUGAUGUUACCUGUGUCAUCUGAACUAAUUUCUGACUCAACAUUGCCUGGAUCCUUUUCAUCAAGUAAAGAUGAUGCAUCAUAGCGGAAAAGAGCAGGACUUUUGAGUCAUUCAAAUCUGGGUUUGAAAUCCUAAUUCUUUUACUUGUAAGCCUUGGGAUUUAGGCCUAUUACUUAACUGUUUUAUGCACAAUUUCCCAAUAGGAGAAAUGGGCUGCUAAUGUUGAACAUACAGAUUUUUUGUUAAUUUUAAUUGUGAGCAGUUUGACACAUAAUGUUGUUGUUCAGUUGCUCAGUCAUGUCUGACUCCUUGCAACCCCCAGGGCUGCAGCACACCAGGCUUCCCUGUCCUUCACCAUCUCCCGGAGCUUGUUCAAACUCAUGUCCACUGAGUUGGUAAUGCCGUCCAACCAUCUCAUCCCCUGUCGUCCCCUUCUCCUAUAGUAUCUCAAUUAUUUAUAGGCAUUGUUACCAUUACUCUAUUCAACAUCCAGCUCAGUCACACCAAAGAGCUGUUUGAAUAAAAGCCUUAUAACAAAUAAUGACAGAGGGAAAGCCUCUUGUAAUAUUUUGCUAUGAGCAAUUAAUUUAACCUUCAUCAAAUAAAAUCAUUGUUGUUGUUAUUUUAAAAUACACUUUGCUCAGACUAUUAAAUUGCCC